CUAAAAAAGCUACAGAUAAGCACUGCAUGGCUUAUUAAAUGGAACAAACAAACUGAAUAAAUAGAGCUCACUACCCCACGUGUUGACUUUAGAAGAUAACAACAAAUAUGGGAAUCAUUUGCAUGGCUGGCUUUGUGAAUGUUGGACAAAUACCUCCACGUUUCCACUCCCAGCCUCCACUUCAUUUCCAUUUUAAUCUGGUGCCUUAACAAAGUUAUUUGCAUGGUGACAUGUAUCAUUUUCACAGUGCCUUGAAAUCAAUGUAGUUUUAGAGGCAGAAUUAUCAUUUUUCCUUCAUUCUUCUAUUCCACCGCGGGAGGAGGGGGGGUGGGGAUUUUUACAAUAUAAGGAGUUAAUAUUUGAAAAUGUGAUUGGAGAACAUGAGUUAACAGCGUUCUCACUAACUCUAGAACUAAUGAAUCUUCACAUCCUCUUAUUCCAUUAGAUUAUACUUAUAAUUGUCAAUAUCAAAAGCAAGGGCACCUAGAAUAACUCGGGAAAAUAUAUCAUACUUGUACUCUGUUUUCCACGAAAACCAAAUAGAGACAGGAAGUCGUAAUGAAUAAUGAUAAGAAAAUCAAUAUUCCCAGCUUACUCAAAAUGUUUUCUGCGUGAAAUUUGACAGACAACAAAAGAUAUGACAAACCUAAAAGUUAAUUAAUGGUGCUUUAACUAAAUUCUCUCCUUCCAUGCCACAGAUAUAAAACAGUGAAAUAACCCAACAGCAAUUUUUUUUCCUACCCAAAAGGCAAACGAUACAUGUACUAGCGAUUCAAUUUCCCGUAAAGAUUCAACGGUGAUCAAUGGUAUAAAAAAACAUAUAUUUGUUGGCAUGCUCCCUAUAAUCUAUACACAUGGACCAAUGACCUAUGAAAAGAACCUAAUUGAAACCAAACCCCAGCAGAAAAAAUAAUUCAAAACCCUAGUUCUAUAUAUCCCACAAAUCAAUAAGAUGUAAAAACAAAAACAAAAACCUCAACAACAAAAAAGCAGUAAAACCCCCAAAUUAAAGUAAUAUAACUAAAUCAGGAAAAAAAAUCAAGAUCAAAAACCUGAAUCUUGGCCUUGACAUUGUCGAUGGUAUCGCUGCUCUCAACCUCGAGAGUAAUGGUCUUUCCAGUUAGGGUUUUCACGAAGAUCUGCAUCUUUCCCGGGUUGUUUUAGUGUCCCGCUAGGAAAUCUACAAGAUGAGAAACCCGAAUAAAUAUUUUGGCCAGAUGCUAAUAGCUUCGCUUUUAAGCGGGUAUAGCGAUAUCUAUGAAGGAAAUAGUGGCC
rnacentral:lncRNA from 1 species